GGAGCAUGUGGUUUAAUUCGAUGAUACGCGAGGAACCUUACCUGGGCUCGAACGUAAGAUGACUGUAGGUGAAAGCUUACAUCUCUUCGGAGCAUUUUACGAGGUGCUGCAUGGUUGUCGUCAGCUCGUGCCGUGAGGUGUCGGGUUAAGUCCCAUAACGAGCGCAACCCCUACCUUUAGUUGCCAUCAGGUUAAGCUGGGGACUCUAAAGGAACUGCCUACGCAAGUAGUGAGGAAGGCGGGGAUGACGUCAAAUCAGCACGGCCCUUACGUCCAGGGCUACACACGUGCUACAAUGGCCGAUACAGAGGGCAGCUACCUGGUGACAGGAUGCAAAUCUCCAAAGUCGGUCUCAGUUCGGAUCGGAGUCUGCAACCCGACUCCGUGAAGUUGGAUUCGCUAGUAAUCGCGCAUCAGCCAUGGCGCGGUGAAUACGUUCCCGGGCCUU
rnacentral:rRNA from 1 species